GUGAUGGAUGAAGGACACAUCUGAAACCUGCAGGGACACCGGCCCUCGUGGACUGGGAUUGGGGACCCCUGCUCUACAGUCUAUAGUUUGAGUGGCAUUUUAGCAGACUGCAACCCACAGUGACAGACAUUUCUCAUGUGUCGUCUGUGAGGAAACAGCAGCAGGCCGACUGUUCUGUUGCAUCUUUAUUGAUUGGCCUCAUUCUCUGAUUGCUGCAACGAUGCUCAGGUAGGUGCUACGUGUCAAAGUAUCAUCCACAUGGAUGGUAGGACCCAAGGUUUCCCAGCAGAACAUCGCCCAAAGCAUCACACCGCCUCUGCCGCCGUGCCUUCUACCCACAAUGCAUCCUGGUGCAAGGCGUUCCCCGGGUAAGCGACACAUACACACCUGAUGUAAAACAUGACUCAUCAGACCACCUUCUUCCAUUGCUCCAUGGUCUAGUUCUGAUGCUGAUCAUUGGUGGUUUUGGUGGUGGGCAGCGGUCAACACGGGCACCCUGACUGGUCUGCAGCUACGCAGCAACCAAACUGUUGGAGCUACAGCACUACUGACGUUAUGCUUUCCCCUGCUUCUAAUAUCUACUUUGAGGACAGCAUGCUCACUCGCUCCCUAACACAUCCCACCCACUAAAAGGUGCCACGAUGAAGAGCUAAUCAGUGUUCCUCACUUCACCUGUGAACGUUUAAAAUGUCAUUCCCGAUCCGUGAUUACAGUCACACGUGCAGCACAGUUAGAGAACAUGUUCAUCAGUUUGAUGUGUUUUAACAACAGUCCACAGGUUUGCUGCACUGAAAGAAACUCGGCCACAGUUUUAUUUUUCAGCAAGUUUAUUUUUUUUUUUUGAAACAGCUCACGUUUUCAAAACAUUUGACUUUCCUCACAAUCUCCGACACGAGCAAGCAAGACAUUAACAUCUUCCAACAUGGUCAAAGUCGUCACCGAAUGACAUUUGGAAGCAAACUAUUUCACGAGAGUCCACUUUAAAAGAAGUGAGAAGCAAUCGGGCACAUAACAACCAAUAAGAAGACUUUGUACAUGUGUGAAACCUGACUAAAACACUAAGAGGCCGUCUUGCGGCGCAAAGGAGCAGUGAUCUGACAAAAUUAACCAAAUGCCCUAACAGUGAAUUACUCCUCAGCCUUGCAUGCGGGUCAAGUGUGCGUGUGUGUGUGCGUGUGUGUGUGUGUGUGUGCGCGUGUGUGUGACUGUAUGCAUGCAUGUGCACUUGUGUUCCACUGUACAAACAGUAAAUUACAUAGAAACCUAACGUGUUCUAAUAAGGCAUUAUGUGGCAAAAGAGAACACCGAGUCCACAGAGCAAAAAACAGCAUCGAUGCCAGAAAAUCUGUUGUUAAGGCCAAGAAACGGAACAAAGUGCCUCAUGAACAGGACGCAGAUCUGCGUGAAAUCAAGCUCCAGUCUUGAGGAAAAAUGUCAGCACAGACACCGUUUGAUGAUCCAAGCCAGGGAUGUGAUGACGAAAGGAAACAUCGGUUUGUCGCUCUGGGUCAGUGAAUGGGAAGGUUUCAGAACAGCUGCAGUUUGCAUGCAGAGACAUAAAGGCUGUGUUUCCCACUGCAGAGGGGCGAAGAGCAGAGUGUGUGCACUGACUUCACAGGUGGGGACAGUAGCAUAAUGAGCUGGGACCAUAAAAAGAACAGAUACAUAAUACAUUCAUGAAGACGUCUUUACGAACAAAACGAGCAAGGUCAACAAAAAGCAGAACACCAUCGGCUCGAAGGCUCCACGGCAACACGCCGACGUCUGCUAACCAACUGCGGCACAGUCAGGCGAGGAGGGCGGGAGCACAACUCAUAUUUAAAGCAUCCAUAACACAUUACUCUUUCUGCCCCUGAUGCAACGCCGGGCUCGGCGUGCUAAAAGGAACCAACUAGCGGACCUCUGCGUGCAGAUGAAAGUGAGCGCUCAGCUCACUGAACGUGGGUUUUAAAGAUGUCUGUUGGAUAGGAUGAGCUCUCUGAGGGGAUCGCUUCGGUCUGUUUACAUCAUCUGGGUCACAUCAGUGUUUGUCACCCAGGCUCAUUAAAAAAUGAAAAAGGAGGGACGCAUUUGUCCAUCAAAGUGACAAAAUACUAACUGCUCACAUGUCAGACGUGAAGCCCUGCAAACUUUCUCUGCAUGGAUUGUUUUAUUUUCUCAUGAUAAAAUCCACUAUAACUGUGUGGGACCACCCACAGGGACACAGUUCUCUCUAAAAAAGAUGCCAAAUGAACAAUAAAAUGACGAGAUACAAAGUGAGCCCGACUCUCACUCGCAGCAGUCUGUGCCCACGGUCGA